rnacentral:ribozyme from 12 species
AGGAAGAAAUGGAAGAAUUUGUCCUCCCAUUUCUUCGCCACUAAACUAGGGUUCUUUUUUUCCAUCCCUCUCUUUGCUUUUUCUUUCCCUUCCUCUUUUUCUUU